rnacentral:lncRNA from 1 species
CCCCAAAAUUUGCCCUCCUCAUUCAUGCAUUCAUUUUUAGGUCAUUUAACAUUUCAUAUUGCAUUUCAUCAUGUCAAUUAGAAUCAGAUCCAAGAAACUUUAUUUAAAAAAAAUAAAAAAAAACAUAAAAAUAAAAUAAAAAAUAACGAAAAGAAAAACGAAAAAAAAAAUUAAAUAAAUAAAUAAAUAAAAGAAAAAUCUUGGACUUGGACCUCUCUCAUUUGAGCCCACAGGUCCACAAAAAUCAGGUUAUAAAUUCAGAGUUUCAGUGAAAC